rnacentral:rRNA from 1 species
UACGUAGGGUGCAAGCGUUGUCCGGAAUUAUUGGGCGUAAAGAGCUCGUAGGCGGUCUGUCGCGUCGGCUGUGAAAACCCGGGGCUCAACCCCGGGCCUGCAGUCGAUACGGGCAGACUAGAGUGUGGUAGGGGAGAAUGGAACUCCUGGUGUAGCGGUGGAAAUGCGCAGAUAUCAGGAGAACACCGGUGGCGAAGGCGGGUCGCUGGCGGCGAAACUGACGCUGAGGAGCGAAAGCGUGGGGAGCGAACAGG